UACAGAGGGUGCAAGCGUUGUUCGGAAUUACUGGGCGUAAAGCGCGUGUAGGUGGCGAUGUAAGUCGGGUGUGAAAUCCCUCGGCUCAACCGAGGAAGUGCACUCGAUACUGUGUCGCUUGAGUGUUGGAGGGGAUGGCGGAAUUCCCGGUGUAGAGGUGAAAUUCGUAGAUAUUGGGAGGAACACCUGUGGCGAAGGCGGCCAUCUGGACAACUACUGACACUGAGACGCGAAAGCGUGGGUAGCAAACAGG
rnacentral:rRNA from 1 species